GUGGGGAAUAUUGGGCAAUGGGCGAAAGCCUGACCCAGCAACGCCGCGUGAAGGAAGAAGGUUUUCGGAUCGUAAACUUCUAUCCUUGGUGAAGAUAAUGACGGUAGCCAAGAAGGAAGCCCCGGCUAACUACGUGCCAGCAGCCGCGGUCAUACGUAGGGGGCAAGCGUUGUCCGGAAUGAUUGGGCGUAAAGGGCGCGUAGGCGGCCCGGUAAGUCUGAAGUGAAAGUCCUGCUUUUAAGGUGGGGAUUGCUUUGGAUACUGUCGGGCUUGAGUGCAGGAGAGGUAAGCGGAAUUCCCGGUGUAGCGGUGAAAUGCGUAGAGAUCGGGAGGAACACCAGUGGCGAAGGCGGCUUACUGGACUGUAACUGACGCUGAGGCGCGAAAGUGUGGGGAGCAAACAGGAUUAGAAACCCGAGUAGUCC
rnacentral:rRNA from 1 species